UGGGCUUCUUGCAAGAUGAAGGUA
rnacentral:miRNA from 1 species